rnacentral:rRNA from 1 species
CAGCCGCCGCGGUAAUACCGGCGGCCCGAGUGGCGGCCACUCUUAUUGGGCCUAAAGCGUCCGUAGCCGGGCUGGUAAGUCCUCCGGGAAAUCUGGUCGCUUAACGAUCAGACUUCCGGAGGAUACUGCUGGCCUAGGGACCGGGAGAGGCCGAGGGUAUUCCCGGGGUAGGGGUGAAAUCCUGUAAUCCCGGGAGGACCACCUGUGGCGAAGGCGCUCGGCUGGAACGGGUCCGACGGUGAGGGACGAAGGCCAGGGGAGCGAACCGGAUUAGAUACCCGGGUAGUCCUGGCUGUAAACGAUGCGGACUAGGUGUCGGGCAAGCUAAGGGCUUGUCCGGUGCCGCAGGGAAGCCGUUAAGUCCGCCGCCUGGGGAGUACGGCCGCAAGGCUGAAACUUAAAGGAAUUGGCGGG